ACACUCCUACGGGAGGCAGCAGUGGGGAAUUUUGGACAAUGGGCGAAAGCCUGAUCCAGCAAUGCCGCGUGAGUGAAGAAGGCCUUCGGGUUGUAAAGCUCUUUUGUCAGGGAAGAAACGGUGAAAGCUAAUAUCUUUUGCUAAUGACGGUACCUGAAGAAUAAGCACCGGCUAACUACGUGCCAGCAGCCGCGGUAAUACGUAGGGUGCAAGCGUUAAUCGGAAUUACUGGGCGUAAAGCGUGCGCAGGCGGUUUUGUAAGUCUGAUGUGAAAUCCCCGGGCUCAACCUGGGAAUUGCAUUGGAGACUGCAAGGCUGGAAUCUGGCAGAGGGGGGUAGAAUUCCACGUGUAGCAGUGAAAUGCGUAGAUAUGUGGAGGAACACCGAUGGCGAAGGCAGCCCCCUGGGUCAAGAUUGACGCUCAUGCACGAAAGCGUGGGGAGCAAACAGGAUUAGAAACCCGGGUAGUCCC
rnacentral:rRNA from 1 species